GUUCACACACCUGUAAUCGAUGAUGGCUAGUGGUUAAGGAGGUAUCGAACCCCAUUUGUGCGCAGUCACACAAAUAAGCAUCCGCCUGGGGAGUACGGCGCAAGGUUGAAACUCAAAGGAAUUGACGGGGGCCCGCACAAGCAGCGGAGCAUGUGGUUUAAUUCGACGCAACGCGAAGAACCCUUACCAGGUCUUGACAUCCAGUUAAAGUCAUAGAGAUAUGAUGUGUGCUUGCACAAACUGAGACAGGUGGUGCAUGGUUGUCGUCAGCUCGUGUCGUGAGAUGUUGGGUUAAGUCCCGCAACGAGCGCAACCCUUGCCAGUAGUUACUAACGAGUAAAGUUGAGGACUCUACUGGGACUGCCGGGGACAACUCGGAGGAAGGUGGGGACGACGUCAAAUCAUCAUGCCCCUUAUGACCUGGGCUACACACGUGCUACAAUGGCCGUAACAGAGAGGAGCGAGUCCGCAAGGAUGAGCAGAUCUCAAAAAAGCGGUCUCAGUUCGGAUUGUGGGCUGCAACCCGCCCACAUGAAGUCGGAGUUGCUAGUAAUCGCGGAUCAGCAUGCCGCGGUGAAUACGUUCCCGGGCCUUGUACACACCGCCCGUCACACCAUGGGAGUUGAUAGCACCCGAAACUGGUGAGGUAACCGAAAGGAGCCAGCCAGCUAAGGUGAGAUCAAUGACUGGGGUGAAGUCGUAACAAGGUAGCCG
rnacentral:rRNA from 1 species